rnacentral:rRNA from 1 species
GGAGAUGUGUAUAAGAGACAGUCGCAUCCUGGGGCUGGAGAAGGUCCCAAGGGUCCGGCUGUUCGCCGGUUAAAGCGGUACGCGAGCUGGGUUCAGAACGUCGUGAGACAGUUCGGUCCUUAUCCACUGUGGGCGCAGGAGGCUUGAGGGAUUCCUUCCCUAGUACGAGAGGACCGGGAAGGACGCACCUCUGGUGUGGCAGUUGUCCCGUCAGGGGCAGCGCUGCGUAGCCAUGUGCGGAAGGGAUAAGCGCUGAAAGCAUCUAAGCGCCAAGCCCCUCCCAAGAUCAGGCCUCCCGGACCGCAAGGUCCCUGAAGACCCCCGGAAGACUACCGGGUUGAUAGGCCAGACGUGUAAGCGGAGCAAUCCGUUCAGCCGACUGGUCCUAAUCGGUCGUGCGGCUUGAUCGU